rnacentral:rRNA from 1 species
GAGUUUGAUCGUGGCUCAGAACGAACGCUGGCGGCGGGGUUUAGGCAUGCAAGUCGCGCGAGAAAGGGGCAACCCGAGUACAGCGGCGCAAGGGUGAGUAACAGUUAGUCAACGUACCCAGGUGACGCGGAUAAUUCUCCGAAAGGGGUUGUAAUACGCGAUGAGACCACGGGGCUUCCGGGCCCAGAGGUCAAAGGUCGGGGAUCCUUCGGGACCUGGCGCACUUGGAGCGGACUAACGCCGAUUAGCUAGAUGGCGGGGUAACGGCCCACCAUGGCGAUGAUCGGUAGCCGGCCUGAGAGGGUGUCCGGCCACACUGGGACUGAGACACUGCCCAGACUCCUACGGGAGGCUGCAGUCGCGAAUCAUUCACAAUGGGCGCAAGCCUGAUGAUGCCACGCCGCGUGCGGGAUGAAGGCCCUUUGGGUUGUAAACCGCUGUCAAGGGAGGGAACCGCGCGCAGUCAACAGCUGCGCGUCUGACUGCUCCCUAAAGGAAGCCCGGCAAACAUGUGCCAGCAGCCGAC